CCUACGGGAGGCAGCAGUGAGGAAUAUUGGUCAAUGGGCGCGAGCCUGAACCAGCCAAGUAGCGUGAAGGAUGACUGCCCUACGGGUUGUAAACUUCUUUUAUAAAGGAAUAAAGUGAGGCACGUGUGCCUUUUUGUCUGUCCUUUAUCAUUCAGGAUCGGCUAACUCCGUGCCAGCAGCCGCGGUAAUACGGAGGAUCCGCGCGUUAUCCGGAUUUAUUGGGUUUAAAGGGCGCGUAGAUGGGUUGUUAAGUCAGUUGUGAAAGUUUGCGGCUCAACCGUAAAAUUGCAAUUGAUACUGGAAGGCUUGAGUACAGGUGAGGUAGGCGGAAUUCGUGGUGUAGCGGUGAAAUGCGUAGAUAUCACGAAGAACUCCGAUUGCGAAGGCAGCUUACUAAACUGCCACUGACAUUGAUGCUCGAAAGCGUGGGUAUCAAACAGGAUUAGAUACCCGGGUAGUC
rnacentral:rRNA from 1 species